AGGUGAGGAGUGUGUGAGACAGGUGAGGAGUGUGUGAGACAGGUGAGGUGUGUGUGAGACAGGUGAGGUGUGUGAGAGACAGGUGAGGUGUGUGUGAGACAGGUACAGGGUGAGACAGGUGAGGUGUGUGUGAGACAGGUGAGGUGUGUGUGAGACAGGUACAGGGUGAGACAGGUGAGGUGUGUGUGAGACAGGUGAGGUGUGUGUGAGACAGGUACAGGGUGAGACAGGUGAGGUGUGUGUGAGACAGGUGAGGUGUGUGUGAGACAGGUACAGGGUGAGACAGGUGAGGAGUGUGUGAGACAGGUGAGGUGUGUGAGACAGGUACAGGGUGAUACAGGUGAGGAGUGUGUGAGACAGGUACAGGGUGAGACAGGUGAGGAGUGUGAGACAGGUGAGGAGUGUGAGACAGGUGAGGAGUGUGUGAGACAGGUGAGGAGUGUGUGAGACAGGUGAGAAGUGUGUGAGACAGGUGAGGAGUGUGAGACAGGUGAGGAGUGUGAGACAGGUGAGGAGUGUGUGAGACAGGUGAGCUGAUGUAAAUCUGCAGUGGUGUGUAAGGUGUGAAAUGGGUCAGGGAUAAAAGAACACGAGUUGUGAGGUCUUUAAUUCUCCAUGUCUUCCUGUCUGUCUCUCUUUCUGUCUGUG
ensembl:lncRNA